GAACGUCUUCAGGGCGGGGUGCGAUUCCCCACCGGCGGUAGGCGCGGCCAUUCCGAUGGAAUGCACGCGCGAGCCCGCGAGCGCCGAGGCCGAUGGGGGUUGCGCAUCAUGAUGCGGGCUCCGCUUGGCCGAGGGUCAGCAGAUCCGGUCCGAUGCCGGAGCCGACGGUAUAGUCCGGAUGAAAGAAGACGGCC
rnacentral:ncRNA from 1 species